rnacentral:rRNA from 1 species
UACGAAGGGGGCUAGCGUUGCUCGGAAUCACUGGGCGUAAAGCGCACGUAGGCGGAUUGCUAAGUCAGGGGUGAAAUCCUGGAGCUCAACUCCAGAACUGCCUUUGAUACUGGCGAUCUCGAGUCCGGGAGAGGUGAAUGGAACUGCGAGUGUAGAGGUGAAAUUCGUAGAUAUUCGCAAGAACACCAGUGGCGAAGGCGGCUCACUGGCCCGGUACUGACGCUGAGGUGCGAAAGCGUGGGGAGCAAACAGG